UUUGGCAUUCGGCUUGUUAUCCACAAUCGCAUUGCCCACCGCGUGCAACAAGUGCGUUUUACCUAAGCCCGUGCCACCGUA
rnacentral:antisense_RNA from 1 species